rnacentral:rRNA from 1 species
AAAAAAAUAUGACAACCUUGAAACGUGAUGGAUAGGGAAAGGUUUACUGAGUACCGAAGUAUCUGAUACUUUGCUUCUUAAAAAAGCUUCUAGGUUUGGUUCGACCAAAAACGAUAGUAUUACCCGUACCAAGAACGAACACACGUGCUCGAGGAGAAUAUCCACAGGCAAGCGAGUUAACUAUGGUUAAGGAACUCGGCAAAUUAGCCCCGUAACUUCGGGAGAAGGGGUCCUCGGGGAAACCUGUGGUACAAUAAAGAGGCACGAACGACUGUUUACCAAAAACACAGCUCUCUGCUAAGGUGUAAACCGACGUAUAGAGGGCGACGCCUGUCCAGUGCUGGAAGGUCGAGAGGAAAGGUUAGCCAGCAAUGGCGAAGCUUUGAAUUGAAGCCCCAGUAAACGACGGCUGUAACCAUAACGGUCCAAAGGUAGCGAAAUUCCUUGUCAGGUAAGUUCUGACCCGCAUGAAAGGCGUAACGAUUCGUGCACUGUCUCAACCAUAGACUCGGUGAAAUCUUAAUACCGGUGAAGAUGCCGGUUACCCGCAACUAGACGGAAAGACCCCGUGGAGCUUUACUAUAGCCUGAUAUUGAACUUUGGUUUGCUAGGGGUGGGAGACAAUUCUAACUUCGGUUAGAAAAGUCGUUAAAACCACCAUAGUAAGCAGAAGUUUCUAACUUAGCCCGUUAAUCCGGGCAAGGACAGUGUUUGGUGGGUAGUUUAACUGGGGCGGUUGCCUCCUAAAAAGUAACGGAGGCGUUCAAAGGUAUCCUCAGCAGGAGUAGAAAUCCUGUGUUGAGCGUAAAGGUAUAAGGAUGCUUAACUGUGAGACCAACAAGUCGAACAGGUGAUACAAUAGUAUCACGUUCCGCAAGGAACGUACGAAAGUAGGACUUAGUGAUCAGCCGAUACUUAGUGGUAAGGUCGGCGGCAGCGAAUAAGUUACCCCGGGGAUAACAGGCUAAUCUUUUCCGAGCGACCAUAGCGACGAAAAGGAUUGGCACCUCGAUGUCGGCUCUUCUCAUCCUGGAGGUGUAGAAGCUUCCAAGGGUUGGGCUGUUCGCCCAUUAAAGAGGAACGUGAGCUGGGUUCAGAACGUCGUGAGACAGUUUGGUUCCUAUCUAUUGCGGGCGCAGGAAAUUUGAGGAGUGCUGCUCUUAGUACGCAAGGACCAGAGUGGACUAACCAAUGGUGUACCAGUUGUUUCGUCAGAAGCACGGCUGGAUAAUUAUGUUAGGUAUAGAUAAGUGCUGAAAGCAUCUAAGUACGAAACUAACUCCAAGAUAAGAUUUCCCAUUCCGGAAACGGAAAUAAGAUACCUUCCAGACUAGGGGGUUGAUAGGUGGCAGAUGUAAGUAUAGCAAUAUAUUCAGUUGAGCCAUACUAAUUUAUCGAAGAGU